GCCCCCAUAGUCCAAUGGCAGAGACAGAGGACUUAAAAUCCUUCCAGUGUCGGUUCGAGUCCGACUGGGGGCACAA
rnacentral:tRNA from 1 species